rnacentral:lncRNA from 1 species
UCUUUCGCCUCCCUCUUUUUGAUGAGUGAGGAGUAAUGGAAUUCAAAGUCCAAAGAUUUUGUGAAUCAAAAAGAAGUCAUCAAUUAUAUAAAUCUACGCAACAUCAAGUCAACUAAUAGUAUGGGCGUACAAUGUACUACUACAAUUUUAUCAAUCCCAGUGCAGUAUUUUACUUUUUUCCAUUAUUUUAACAAACUUUUAAUUAAUUUAUUGUAUGUAAUCAUUAUUAUUGUGAUUAUUAUAUUUUCUUUAUUAAUCUAUUUACUAUUGAUAUUCAUUUGCAAUAAAUGACGAUUGAAAAAAUAAACAGG